AUACAUUUCCCUAUGUUUAUAAGACACAUUCUUCGGGCUAGUAUACCAGUAGGAAAAUUUUAAAACUUGAUUUAAUGGCGAAAGAUAUGUUGUGAUUCCACCUUCGGAAUCCUGAAACAUAUCCGGUGGUCAGGAUACAUUUUUCCAAAGCAUAUCAUGCCCAGAAAAUAGAAUAUAAUAUUUACUUUCAGAAUCUGUAACAAUAUUGAGGAUGUUUUCUUUGAAAUUUCCGAGUUACAGCAAAAAACUGAAAAAAAAGAAACGUCAUUCUGUCACGGCACAAUGUAUCAUAACCAUCAUAACGGACAUAUGCACAUAAAAUCAUGAAAAAACAUAUUUUCAAAAAAUCAUUUAUAUUUUGUAGUUUAUGUACAGUAGCACAACUGUGGAAAUAUAGUAAAAUUAGGCAUGAAAUUGGAAAUUAAUUUUUUGUUGAUCUUGAUCAAACCUUAAUUCAAUUUUAGUAAAAAAUCUUUAAAAAGAAAACUAUUUGUUUGGGAAAUACUAUAACUCCUAGCUAGAAUAAAAAUAUUUUGGGUUCCCAAGACACCAACCACCUGGAUAUUUUUUAACAAGUCUACGGAUUCGACUUCCACCAGACCUGGCAUCCCUGGAGAGCAGGUCAGUCGAGAGAGAAGUUGAGAAAGUGUGCGUGAGAAAACGAGAAAUAAAUCAGUCGUGUGUUUUGCUUGGGCUUGAAAGGACGCGUCUAUUAUUUGUAUCCGAAAUAUUUGGAAUUCGCUGGAAAAAUCGGGUGAAAGUCACGACAAUGGCGCAGAAAAUGCUCCCAUCGCGAGUGAGUAAUGUAAUUAGUGCAGAUUUAGUGAAUCUUUGUGAUUAAAAAGGUUGCGUUCGCGAGAAAUGUUUGCCGUGCGGCUAUAGGCAGCCGCCAUGAUGGCGUCGGUGUUUUCUUGGAGUGGCAGCCGGGUUGAAAAAUAUAUCUGACGCCUGUGACCUUGGUGGUAGCAGAAAGGUCGCAACCGAACUGUGUUGUGGAGAAUGACAGAGUGGCGGUCUUUCUUUCUUGUGCUAUGUUUGAGUGUUUUUGUUUUGUUGAAAAUUUACAGUAGCCCCUGAAAGAAAAAAAAAGUGAAAAGAGAAAAAAUGCCAUCUGUCUGGAAGCGUUUUCCCCGCUAAGGUAACCACGUUGACGUAGGGGUUCUGGCUGAUAUGUGGCACGAUCAAGGACCGGAGAAGCAUCUGUUUAAGCCGAAUUCGGAGAUGAGCUGAGUUUCCCGCAUAAAAGGAUCACCAAGCUAAUGUUAAUCUGAAUAUAUGAUGUAAUUUUUAGAGUAGGAAAGAACGAGGAUGUAGUGAAUGAGUGUGGCAGAGAAGAGAGAGAGUGAGAAAAGAGAGCGUUCAUGUAGCGUAAGAGAGAGCAGGUCAGUCGAGAGAGAAGUUGAGAAAGUGUGCGUGAGAAAACGAGAAAUAAAUCAGUCGUGUGUUUUGCUUGGGCUUGAAA